AUGCCCGGGGAUACCGAACUGACCCUGAAAAAAGGGUCUUGGAGAGAGACUCUUACUUUAUCCUGCAAUUACAAAGGAUCUGGUAACAAUAAUUACCUGCAGUGGUAUCGUCAGUUCUCCACAUUUAGACCAGAGUUCAUUAUUCUGAAUGAAGAAAAAAAUCGAGUGGAUCUGAAGAUCUCCUCUGCUGCAGUAUCAGAUUAUGCUCUCUACUACUGUUUUCAGACCUCCAAGUGA